AGCACUAGUUCAAGGUUACGAAGCAAAAAGCUGGCAGAACCAGAUUCAGGGCCCUUCCCACCUACUUGGAUAAAGAGAGGUGCGUCAGAGAGACCAGCUCUCAAUGGAUACGGCCCCGACAAGUACAGCCCUGAGACAGGAAGCUUCUCGGACAACCUCUGCAGCCUUCCUGAGCAGGCUUGGAAGACAGACAGAUAGAUGUCCUUCUGGAGUUUCACACUGUCACACAUGACAAACAGGAAAAUGAACUGCUGUGCCAAUAAGAAGAAUCUGCCUUAAAGAAAAAUUUAACAGACUCAUCUCCAAAGAAAAUCAUUUUCUACCAGCCAGUGAUGUCUUACGAGGCUAGUGGAUCUGAGGAAGGCUCUUUUAUGAAACAAUUUCUGGAGAGGAGAUGGAAAUAACACUGCAUCAUUUCCAGCUACCUCCUGAUAAUCCCGCCUCUUUCCUUCUGGUACUUAGGCCGAUGUAACAGACCCUUACACU